rnacentral:rRNA from 1 species
UACGUAGGAUGCAAGCGUUGUCCGGAAUUAUUGGGCGUAAAGCGAACGUAGGCGGCUUCUUAAGUUUGGUCUUAAAAGACCGGGGCUCAACCCCGGGAAUGGACUGAAUACUGGGAGGCUGGAGGAUGUCAGAGGAAAGUGGAAUUCCCAGUGUAGCGGUGAAAAUGCGUAGAUAUCGGGAGGAACACCAGUGGCGAAGGCGACUACCUGGCCUGUUCUUGACGCUGAGGCGCGAAAGCUAGGGGAGCAAACGGG